CCCAUCUUGUUCUAGAAUUGUCUCAGUUUUAGAGUCUGUUUUUCUUCACAAGCUAAAAUGUACUCAGCUGUAAAUAAGAUUUUAUCAUUAAAGUGAACAACUGGGGUAGCAGAAGGGAGAGUCAAGUGAUCAUACCAAUUGUCCUCACAUGUUUCCAGUUUAUCUGAAAUGACAGAGCCUAUUAGAGUUAAAACAAUUGCUGCAGUCCUUGUCUAUGGCUCGCUCAGUUUCAUUUUUAAAGGCUUUCAGAUCUCACAGAGCAUGAUGGAGAUACUACUAUACCAAAAUGGAGGAGAAAAAUUUAAGCCUAAUUCCAACUCUUAUCCCCUCUAGAGUAAACCCAAUGAAUAAUUGGAACUUACAUAGGUGCUAACUUCCCAUGUUAGUUCAAUAGCUAUACUUUAAUUAGAAUUAAUGCCUUGCUUUCAACUCAAAUCACACAUGUUUUGUUAAAUACAGAACAAGGCUUAAUGCAUGACUACUGAAUGGGAGUAAAAAAGGUAAAGGUUUCCCCCUGACGUUAAGUCCAGUCGUGAUCGACUCUGGGGGUUGGUGCUCAUCCCCAUUUCUAAGCUAAAGAGCCGGCGUUGUCCAUAGACACUUCCAAAGUCAUGUGGCUGGCAUGCCUGCAUGGAGCGCAGUUACCUUCCCACUGGAGCGGUACCUAUUAAUCUACUCACAUUGGCAUGUUUUCGAACUGCUAGAUUGGCAGGAGUAACUACCUCUUAAUCAUACAUCCAUAUCGUGGUGAUCCACUACUGUAAGGAUGUAGACACCAUGUGCAAAUAACACAAUGGUGUCAGAGUUAGCAUGGAUUUUCUGACAUAGUCUAUACCUUUCUGGGAACAUGUCUAUGUAUUGUACAUGUCUAUGUAUAGAAGCAAUGUGGGUCAUAAUGAAAGUAAGCUAUACUUAGGGUUAUCAUACACUACUUCCACAUGGUAUGAUUUCCUUCAUAGAAACAGAUUGACUUAUUCAUCUUUCUCUCUCCUAUUUGACUUUUCAUCACAGUGUGCAUAUUAAGCAGCAGAUCUCUGCUAGGUUAUCCAUGCUCCCAUUCAAUGGCCUAAAUCAUGCUAUCUAUUUUAACUAGACUGAGGACCUCAUCACAUGAAGUUUUGGCUCCAUCCUAGGAUGCUUCCAUGAGUGAGUAAGGACAGAGCCCAUUGGAGCCCAUCACUUGAUGCAGGACUACUUCCGGUGUGGAUCCAUCCUAGAAGUAUCCUUGGAUAGAGCCCUGAGAACGUGGGAGGCUUCCUGUGUUCUCAUUUGAGGAAGAGUGUAUGUUUCUCUGUUUGGUUGGUAUCAAAGCAUGGGUCUGUUUGUUUAGGCUCGAAAACUUUGUAAAUAAUAUUCACUGUAGUACUGAGCAUUAAACAGAGAAAGUUCUACAUUGAUUUCCACAGGAGGGAAAAGUGGUAUCAUCAUCAUCAUCAUCAUCAUCUUUAUUUAUAUGCUGCCCUAUCUCCCCAAAGGGACUCAGAAGUGAUACUGCUCAAACUAUUUGGAGAAAAUGAAAGGUCUAAUUUGACCGUGGCUAUAGAAAUCUUGGCCUUCACAUGUUGCUGGACACACCAUUUCUCCUUCUUUAGCAAUGACUAGGCUUGAUGGGAGUUGUAAUUUAGCAACAACCAGAGAUCCACAAAAUUCUUCAAGCCUUGAAAAGUCAGGAUACUUCACAUAUAUACUUUAAAUAUAUAGCAUGUGGCUAAAUCUCAGCAUUUAAAAUUAUUAUUUAAAGAUAAAUCUGCAUGUGAUCCAGACUGUGGCAGGAACUAUACAGGGAAAGGAGAUAUAAUAAUAUAUAAUAAUUUCCUAGACUUUCUCUGGGUUGGUGGGUUCAGCCCUUCUGCUCAAUGUGUAGGUGUACUAUUGAGGCAGCAAACACACAGGAGGAUUUCUUUUCAUCUUCUCAUUUAUAUUCUUUACUUCUACUAUUCUCAUUUACUUUCAUUUACUUUCUCUGCUUCUAUUACAUUGUCUUCAUCAUUGCUAUCACUAAGUCUUGCAUAAGAGGGUUCAGGCUUUGUGGGAAGCACAGUUUGGUAGGAAAUAACAACAGCAACAGCAACAAUGGUUUGGUGAAGUGCCAGAACUCUCUGACUGAGAAUUUUAAGUACAUCUCUCUAAACACAAAUCCCAGGAUCUCAUGUUAUCAUUACAGUUCAAGUGGAAUGAUAGUUAUAUACAUUGUCUGACAUAGAAGAGCUCCUAGAGUAUGCCAUUACCAUGGGAAAACAACCUUAUUUGGGUAGAGUAUUGUACUAGAUUGUAUUACCUCCAGCUUUUAGCUUAUUCAUUUGCCUACAUGUAAUUCUGGUUUGCCCAUCAUAUCAAGUAAUGCUUAAGUUCAAAGGAUGCAUGCUAAAUGGAACUGCAGAAUGAGAGUAUCUUCAGGUUUUGUCCAUGGAAGAAGUUCUACCUGUUACAAAUGUAGUCACUUAUAUAUUCAACUGGUAAUGCAUUGCAUAAUACUGGAAAGGGAACAUACUUGAAGGGCAGACUCAAGACAGUUUUAUCUGUUGCCCAAAAGAUAGGAAAGAAGCACUCCCCCUAUAUCUAAAAAUAGUGUGUGAUUUGUCAAAAACCCAUCUUGUUUUCAGUUUUGUUUUCUGCCCCCAUUCUGUUUUUUGGAAAGUUACCAGUAUUGGGCGGGGGGGGGGGGGGUAGCAUUUCUUGUUCCAUCAACCAGAAGUUCAAUUUUUGCUCCAGGAAGAUUUGGUUCAUUGGCAGCAAUGGGGAAAAUGGCUAGGCUCUUUCUGUCAUUUUUAUGGCUAAUGGGAUGAAAAUGGCCACACUUGGAAAACACAUUUACAACCACAAGCCCCCCCCCUCUACAUUUCAGGACAUUUGGGUCAUCCAUUGAUUUUUAGGAAAUUUGUAAAGUUUCAUCAGUACCACCUCUCCCUCUGCCUCUCCCACUCACACUGAGUUUUGGUCUCCUCAAAGCUUGGCCACUAGACCCAGCAGAACCACCAACAUGUUAUAUAUACAUCCUAUAUUUAUUAUGUGUAAGUAACAAAGGGUUUUUUGGUAUUAAAAAAAAUAUUUUUGAGGAAAAAUAGGCUCAGGCUUCUGGCUUUGCGCAGCGCAUACACAGUAGCCAGAAGAAAAAUAGGAGAGAGAGUCAAAGAGGAGAACUAACAAGAAGGGCUUUUUUUGGUAAUUUUAAAUUUGUGUGUGUGUGUGGGGGGGGGGGGGCUGCUGGACUGUGCAGGAGCACACACAAGCCAGAAGGUAGAGCUGGGUAGGGUAUAGCAGAGAGACUGAAAGCAAGAGGUAAAAAGGCUUUUUAUUUAAUGGGGGUGGUGGUGGUGUGUGCGCUUAGGCUUCUGGUGCAGGACAGAAGUCAGAAGGUAGGUCUGGGGAAAAUUCUCCCUGUGGACUCAAGAGAGUCUGGCUGUUCCCAAAACCUAUCCCACUCGUGAACUUAAUGCAAAAAAAAAAAAAACCAACAAAAAAACAACAACAAAAAAGCUCUACAAAUAUUUAAGCAAACAACAAGCACACAAAAAAGCCCUUUUAAAAGUCAUCCCCCAAAUGCACCUGGUCCACCCACUCCUCCCUAGUGAAAUUACUAGUACAAUAAAAGAAAGACUGAAAGAUAUUUAGCUAAGAAAAUGUAAUGCAGAAGAAAAGGGAAUUCUCAAAAAGCAAUCCGUAUUCCCUAAUCACUAAGAAGUGACGGCACUGAGAUAGAACACACGGAGCUAGCUAGCAUGAUAUCUUCCUUUCAAAUGUCAGAACACCACAGAAAAAUGGUGGAGCACAAACCUGGUAUAUAUAGACCAGCUUUGCAAAAAGACACGUUAUCUGCUUUCUUUUUCUGAUUGGUUCUGAUUGGUUGGGGGGACUUGCGUGUGUGCGGCAAUUUCAAAAGCCUGUUGCUACAACCAGAGAAUAUGUCAGCCUUUGAGGCUAAUUUAUGCCAUAUUCAAAGGAAUGAAAUGUGAUGAUAGCAGUUAAGAUCUGGUUUGUUUCUUCUUUCUUGUAUACAGUUUGAGUUUGCAUUUGAGUUAACAUCAUCUUGGUCACUGGGAAUAUUUACUGCAUAUAUUUAUUGAGAACAGAUGAAAGUAAUUUACCAAGUUUUCAGCAACAAGCAACCUUGAUCAUAUCUAUUAUACAUCUAUGUGGAAAACAUGAGCAAAAUGUUCUUAUAUGGGCAUGUAUUUGAAAAUAUUUGAUUUUUAAUGGAGGCACUGAAAUUGUAUGUGUGUUUCUUAUUUAUUUAUGGUUAACUUAGUGUUCAUGUGGCCCGCCCUUGUUUUUAUUGUUCUUCUGAUUUUGCGUUGUAAUGUAUAUUAUCAUUUAUUGUAUUGUUCAAUGUGUUAUGAUUUGUUGUUCUUUUUAUAUUCUGUCAUAUUGUAUUGUUCUGGGUAUGGCCCCAUGUAAGCUGCCCUGAGUCCCCAUUGGGGAGAUGGUGGCGGGGUAUAAAUAAAGAUUAUUAUUAUUAUUAUUAUUAU